rnacentral:rRNA from 1 species
CCUACGGGUGGCAGCAGUGAGGAAUAUUGGUCAAUGGGCGCGAGCCUGAACCAGCCAAGUCGCGUGAGGGAGGACGGCCCUACGGGUUGUAAACCUCUUUUGCCGGGGAGCAACGGGCGUCACGUGUGGCGCCACUGAGAGUACCCGGAGAAAAAGCAUCGGCUAACUCCGUGCCAGCAGCCGCGGUAAUACGGAGGAUGCGAGCGUUAUCCGGAUUUAUUGGGUUUAAAGGGUGCGUAGGCGGUAUUUUAAGUUAGUGGUAAAACGUCGGGGCUUCACCUUGAUUGGCCAUUAAAACUGGAGUACUAGAGUACAGACGAGGUAGGCGGAAUAAGUUAAGUAGCGGUGAAAUGCUUAGAUAUAACUUAGAACCCCGAUAGCGAAGGCAGCUUACCAGACUGUUACUGACGCUGAAGCACGAGAGCGUGGGUAGCGAACAGGAUUAGAUACCCGGGUAGUC